CUCAAGCACAAGACGCACAUGGGCUAAUAGAUCUUUUCACCAAACCAAAAUUAUCCUUUUUCCAAUCAACAUCCAUGACAUUCACUGGACACUACUGUGCUUUGGUAGAUGUAAAAACAGGUUGGAACUCAAGCUCAUGGCAAUGUUUUGAACCACUCCAUUGUAAACAGGAAGAUAUGUAUAACUGUGGAGUGUACAUAUGCUUGGGAGCAAAUUGUGGCUGUUUGCAAAAUAUGCAGAGAGGAUGACAAUGAAGACUGGCUGGGUUGUGAUCAAUGUGGUCAAUUUUUUCAUGCAAGUUGCCUUAAUGUUGACUUUGCCAUAACCUUGUCAACACAUUUUAGAUGCAGAUAAAAUUAUUAUCAAUAUUAUAUGACAUGCAACAAAAUCAUUGUUAUGGUAUCAGUGCAAAUUGUGCAAUUAAAAUGAGUGCUUCAAAAUAUAGUAAUGUGUGAAUGAUAAAUACUUUAAUUUAAGGUAAAAUGAACUGGAAGAUUUAAUUGAUUCGGUACAGUUGUGCUUGCCACUAAUUGAAUCUCACACAUGCAAUGAAUAGUUUGAAACUGUUGAUGAAAUGUUACAAUAAACAACAAGUUUUACAAAUAUAUCUGAAAUAAAAUGGCUUAUUCCUAUUUCUUA